UACAGGGGGUGCAAACGUUGCUCGGAAUCAUUGGGCGUAAAGCGCACGUAGGCGGUUCGUUAUGUCGGAUGUGAAAGCCCUUGGCUUAACCGAGGAAGUGCAUCCGAAACUGGCGAGCUAGAGUACGAAAGAGGAUCGCGGAAUUCCCGGUGUAGAGGUGAAAUUCGUAGAUAUCAGGAGGAACACCUGUGGCGAAAGCGGCGCACUGGACCACAACUGACGCUGAGGCGCGAAAGCUAGGGGAGCAAACAGG
rnacentral:rRNA from 1 species